GGUGACGUAGACAUAGUGAAGACGUAGUGACGUGGCAUAGUGAAGAAGAUUAUUAUUUGCAAAGACUUUUGGUAUUGUGAUAUCUCACUUCAACUUCCUCUGAAUUUUGAAAAAGGAAACCUCGACUGCCUUAGGAUUGAGACAGACUCCUGUUAAUCUGAAUAAGGCAAUUUUUCUCGUGCUUCUAUGGUUAUUCAAUCCGUCAUCUCAUCUGCUAUUGCCUGGAUAAUGGUUAGUCGAGAAAAUCUAAAUACAUUCCGGGACUUUAUAAGAUUUACUAUGCAAGAAUCGACUAAUGCCAAGUUAAUGCCAAAACGAAAUAGAAGCAGACUUCCGUAACCAUUUGCUGGUGCUAUUCUAGUUACAUCAAGGAUAAAGGAGGAUCAGGAGAUGAACAGAGCUAUACGGGACGAAUACAAAGGAUUGUUGGUUCUUUCAUUACCGAGUGUAUAUACUGAAAGCUGCUCACAGAGGAACCUGGCCAGAUAAGCUACUUAAGGAUCUGUUCCUGAAAUCCCGAAUUUCAAGCAUCAACUUGUUUGGUCUUCCCGAGCAGUUCGGAAAGUUUCUUCAUAAAAUCCAGUCCAGAAGAUCCCAAGGAAUCGAAUUGGACAUGGUAAUGUUUUUUGACUUCAAGAAUAUUUCUAAUCAUAGUUUAAGAUUGUCUGGAUUAUUUAAGAAA